GUGGGGAAUCUUCCGCAAUGGACGAAAGUCUGACGGAGCGACGCCGCGUGAGUGAAGAAGGCCUUCGGGUCGUAAAGCUCUGUCAUCAGGGACGAACGGCCGGUGGAGUGGAAAGCCACCGGAUUGACGGUACCUGAGAAGGAAGCCACGGCUAACUACGUGCCAGCAGCCGCGGUAAUACGUAGGUGGUAAGCGUUGUCCGGAAUUAUUGGGCGUAAAGCGCGCGCAGGUGGGAUCUUAAGUCCAUUUUUAAAGUUCGGAGCUCAACUCCGUGAUGGGAUGGAAACUGGGAUUCUUGAGUACCGGAGAGGAAAGCGGAAUUCCCCGUGUAGCGGUGAAAUGCGUAGAUAUGGGGAGGAACACCAGUGGCGAAGGCGGCUUUCUGGACGGUGUCUGACACUGAGGCGCGAAAGCCAGGGGAGCGAACGGGAUUAGAAACCCGGGUAGUCC
rnacentral:rRNA from 1 species